UUGUUUUUCAAAUUUCCAAGUGAAUAUAUAUUUCCUUUGGGAAUGUUGGUCUUUUUGGAAAGGAAAUUAGAGGCAAAAAUUUCAGCCACCAGGAGAAAUGCAACUGUGAGCACACAUCCUCCCCAUUAAAACAGCAAAGACUGUGAUUGCUACAGGGACACAGCCACAGCCACUGCACACGGCCUCCUCCACAGACUUCACAUAUCCUUGCAGACUUUUGUGCCAGUCUUCCUCUUCUUAGGUGUUUUUACACAUGGUUUAUUGUGUCCAAAAGCACUCGUUAUUCCUGUGGAGUAUGCUGUGAUUUCUCUGAUGUGCUCUUUGAUACUGUAGUUUCCUCACACUAUUGCUUCUCUGGAUUGACGGCCCUUUGCCAUGAUCGCUUCUCACUAAGGUCUUCCUCCUCCACACCCCCUGCUGAGGUUUGAUCUUGACUCCAUCUGAAGGCGAGGCCUCCCAGGGCCUGCUAAGACCAGGACACAAUGCCUCAGUGCCUCCCCUCUCCUACAAAGCCACUCUGACUCCUCCAGAGCCCCUAAGAAGUGCACCUUAAAGAAGUAGCACCAGCCACAAGGCAGAGCAUUACAUGCCCCUGGCUUUUCUGCCCAUUCCAAGAGGACAACACCCUGAAAUAAUAUUUAGAGUGGAAGGAAACACCAGGAGAAAAAAUGGCCAAAUCUUUCCUGAUUCUCUGCUCACUUUUGGUCUUCAUCAUGAUCCAUUCUGUGUCACCUUUCGCCUCCUGAGCGCUGGGGUUACAAGCAUGCCCACC